rnacentral:rRNA from 1 species
UACGGGGGGAGCAAGCGUUGUUCGGAUUUAUUGGGCGUAAAGGGCGCGUAGGCGGCCUGGCAAGUGGAUGGUGAAAUCCCUCGGCUUAACCGAGGAACUGCCAUCCAGACUGCUUGGCUUGAGACCGGGAGAGGUGAGUGGAAUUCCUGGUGUAGCGGUGAAAUGCGCAGAUAUCAGGAAGAACACCCGUGGCGAAGGCGGCUCUCUGGAACGCAACUGACGCUGAGACGCGAAAGCGUGGGGAGCAAACAGG